UGGGGAAUUUUGCACAAUGGGGGAAACCCUGAUGCAGCGACGCCGCGUGAUUUAGAAGGCCUUCGGGUUGUAAAAAUCUUUUCUAUGGGAAGAAAAUGACAGUACCAUAGGAAUAAGGACCGGCUAAUUACGUGCCAGCAGCCGCGGUAAUACGUAAGGUCCGAGCGUUGUCCGGAAUCAUUGGGCGUAAAGGGUACGUAGGCGGGUAAGCAAGUUAGAAGUGAAAUCCUAUAGCUCAACUAUAGUAAGCUUUUAAAACUGAUCAUCUUGAUGUAUGGAAGGGAAAGUGGAAUUCCUAGUGUAGCGGUGAAAUGCGCAGAUAUUAGGAGGAAUACCGGUGGCGAAGGCGACUUUCUGGCCAUAACCUGACGCUGAGGUACGAAAGCGUGGGUAGCAAACAGG
rnacentral:rRNA from 1 species